GUUAACCGUAUAGGGGAGCCGUAGGGAAACCGAGUCUUAACCGGGCGUUAAGUUGCAGGGUAUAGACCCGAAACCCGGUGAUCUAGCCAUGGGCAGGUUGAAGGUUGGGUAACACUAACUGGAGGACCGAACCGACUAAUGUUGAAAAAUUAGCGGAUGACCUGUGGCUGGGGGUGAAAGGCCAAUCAAACCGGGAGAUAGCUGGUUCUCCCCGAAAGCUAUUUAGGUAGCGCCUCGUGAACUCAUCUCCGGGGGUAGAGCAC
rnacentral:rRNA from 1 species